UACAAAACAUGGUAACAUGGGUUUUAUAUCGGUGGAAACGACAUAGCAAUAGAAGGAGAUUGGAAAUGGCAGGAUGGUACUAAUGUGAUAAUGAGAAGGAGAAGUGGGAUAUCAAAACUGGAAUUCGAAUCAACCAAACAAUGUUGGCAAUGAAGAUUGUUUGGCAGUUGGAAGAAAAACGUAUGAGUGGAUUGAUAUAUCUUGUGAUGAAAUCAUCUACUACAUUUGCCAGAAAGGAGGAGCAACGUUAUCUGCAGAAUCGUCGUCUAUUAUACAAUACAAGAAUACACAAACUUGCGUCAUCUCUUGGAUCUUAUCUAACAAGACAGAGACUGGUGAUUCAUAUACUGUGGAACUGAAUCUAACUUCAAUCCUGGCUUCCUCACGAGAUUCAAACUUGAAGACAGACAUGAAACUAAUAAACGUGACGUCAUCAUCCGUGUAUUCGUUUCAACCAGAAUCAAAUCGUAACUAUUCC